UACGUAGGGUGCGAGCGUUGUCCGGAAUUAUUGGGCGUAAAGAGCUUGUAGGCGGUCUGUCGCGUCUGCUGUGAAAAUCCGGGGCUCAACCCCGGACUUGCAGUGGGUACGGGCAGACUAGAGUGCGGUAGGGGAGACUGGAAUUCCUGGUGUAGCGGUGAAAUGCGCAGAUAUCAGGAGGAACACCAGCGGCGGAAGGCGGCAC
rnacentral:rRNA from 1 species